rnacentral:rRNA from 1 species
GACGAACGCUGGCGGCGUGCUUAACACAUGCAAGUCGAGCGGUAAGGCCCUUUCGGGGGUACGACGAGCGGCGAACGGGUGAGUAACACGUGGGUGACCUGCCCUCAGCUCUGGGAUAAGCCUGGGAAACCGGGUCUAAUACUGGAUAUGACUCCAUGACGCAUGUUGUGGGGUGGAAAGCCUUGUGCGGCUGAGGAUGGGCCCGCGGCCUAUCAGCUUGUUGGUGGGGGUGANGGCCUACCAAGGCGACGACGGGUAGCCGGCCUGAGAGGGCGACCGGCCACACUGGGACUGAGACACGGCCCAGACUCCUACGGGAGGCAGCAGUGGGGAAUCUUGCGCAAUGGGCGAAAGCCUGACGCAGCGACGCCGCGUGAGGGAUGACGGCCU